rnacentral:rRNA from 1 species
AGCGAACGUUUGCGGCGGGCUUAACACAUGCAAGUCGAACGGGCUGUUCCUUCGGGGGCAGUCAGUGGCGCACGGGUGCGUAACACGUAGGUAAUCAACCCUCUGGUUGGGGAUAACACUUCGAAAGGAGUGCUAAUACCCGGUAUGGCGCAGCGGUCUUCGGAUCGCGGCGAGAAAGACCCGCAAGGGUUGCCAGAGGACGAGCCUGCGGCCCAUCAGCUAGUUGGCGAGGUAACGGCUCACCAAGGCGAAGACGGGUAGCUGGUCUGAGAGGAUGAUCAGCCACACUGGAACUGAGACACGGUCCAGACUCCUACGGGAGGCAGCAGUGGGGAAUAUUGCGCAAUGGGCGAAAGCCUGACGCAGCCACGCCGCGUGAGCGAUGAAGGCCUCGGUCGUAAGACGUACGUCGUGGGUAGGAGGAAGGAAGUAAAGAACC